CGCGCGCGCACGGGGUCGGGCGCUCCCGGGCGGCGGUGGCACCACGUAGCCGCCUCCUUCCACCGCUCGCUUUAUCCCCGCCCCUUCUCGGGCCAACCCCAAGCGCCGCUGACCCCGAACGUCGCUGCGGGGUAGGUAGGGGGUGGGAGGGUGGAGGACCGCAGGCGAGAGGGAGAAGGAAGGGCGCCCGGGGAGCAGGCUGGCAGAGUGACCGGGAUUGAUGAGCGGCGCAGCUCUGGAGGGACGCGGGCGAGAGGGUCGCUCCUCGGGGAGAGGGCUGGGUGAGUGAGGACCUGCGAGCCACCCCCGACACCCCUUCCAGGGUAGCCACACUGGCGCCCCCUCCUCCACAACAGGCUUAUGUGGCUAGAGAAGAUGCGAUGCCACUGGACAGGGAAGGAAAGUCGUCGUGGACUUCGCUGAAUGGAAAAGGGGGUAGUUGGGGAAGGUGGAGAAAAGAGCCACGGGAAGUGGGAGGAAAGGAUGAAGGGAUGGGACGUUGAAAAGGAAAGCUUCCUGAAUCCCUGUGUGACUCUAACCCAACCUCCCCACCUACCGGAGAAAUGGGUUUUAUCCUAGAAAUGGGGACGAGGAAAAAGAGAUGGCUCAAGGGAGUCCUGGCCCGGGAUGCGAUCCUCGCCCUAGGGUCUAUUGCAACCACACAAACCCGGACAGCGCACGCUCCCCCCUACCCCGACAGAAUAGUGCCUAAGAAACCUGCUUGCCUCCUAACUCUAGGAAGGAAUCCACAACGGAUUCCAGGGAGGUCUUCUGGGGAAUCUGAAUUGGGUUUUUGGAUCACGAACCAUUAAGCUUUUGAACUCUGGGGAAGAAUAGAACAGGUGGCUGGAAAUUGUUUUAGAACCCUACCUGAGCAGGUGUGCUCAUUAGUUGCUUAUCCGCCCUCCUCCUGGAGCACUUUCAUAGGUGUUGGCAAAGCAGGUACCAGUAUUUCACGGAAGGAGAAGGAAGAACCGCCCAGGACUGUGUAUAAAUGUCUAUGGGAAUAUUUUUAAGGAUUCAAAAGGCUAGAAGGAGGUGAGAUCAAAAAAUUUUUCCAGCACCACCCAGUGCAACCCGAUCCUGGACACAGAAAUCUAAAAGAUGAUACUUAAAUACUUGAGUUUGAGAGCCUCUAGUUAUAAGGUUUCCUACGUAACAACCUCUCACUUUUCUCAAAAACUGGCUAGUUGACAACCGGCAGUCAAGUUUUGGCUAGUCAAGAAGCUACUUUUUCCUGCAAUAAACCACAUUUAGAGAUAGUACUGGGCUUCAGCAGGAUUGAGGCUAUAUUGAGGUCGCAAGUAUGAACGAGGUACCCACAGAGAUGGGAGGGCCAGGAGAUCCUACUCAUUCAGUACCUCAGAAGCUAUGACACGGGAUAACAGUAGCUUCAGCCCUUUGGAUGAAAUAAUCCUCACUCCCUCAAAAGUGCUCUCUACCCACUCAAAACACAGGCCAUACUACCACCAAUCUGGUAGACUUCAAAAGUAAGGUCUUUCAGCAGCAGAUUUCCUUGUUAACAGGAAGGUACUGACAAGCUUUACCUAAGCCUAUUGGAGCUAUGUUGUAAUUCUGUAUAUAAAUAGAACAGUCGCUGCAGGAAUACUGGAUGAGUCAGAAGAAAGGUCUGUCCUAAGCUGAUGUGACACAUUUCAAAAGGACCAGAAAUUAGAUGCAAUUGAUGACUGAGUUGAUCUCUAAGUGGAUUUAUCUUUGAAAUAAAAAUCAGUGGAUAUCCCAUAUACCCGACCCCACACCCUCCCCCAUUGUCAACAUCCCCAACCAAAGUAGCACAUUUGCUACAAAUAGUGAACCUACAUUGCCAGAUCAUUAUCACCCAAAGUCCAUAGUUUACAUUAGGGUUCACUCUUGGGGCUGUAUAUUCUAUAGGGUUGGACAAAUAUAGAAUAACAUGAACCCACCCUCAUAGUAUCAUAGUAUCAUACAGAGUAUUUUCACUGCCCUAAAAGUCCUCUGUACACCACCUAUUUAUCCCUUCCUCCCCCCAGUCUCUGGCAGCCACUGAAGUUUGACUGUAUCCCUGUCUCCUUAGUUUUGCCUUUUCCGGAAUGCCAUAUAUAAGGAAUCAUACAGUAUGCAGUCUUUCUUUCAAUUUUGCUGUGAAACUAAAACUGCUAAGAAAAUAAAGUCUUAAAAAGAAAAAUCAAUGGAGAAGGGAAAGAUAGAUGGAAUGUACAGCCAGAGGAUUGGAUGAGGUCAUCGACGGAGAGAAUGCAGAGAGAAUCCUGGGGCUCACCAACAUGAAGAAUUUGGGACAAGAAAGAAGAUCCAGCAGAGAAGACUGAAAGAAGGCAACUAAUGAAAUAGGAGAGAACCUGGAGAGCACAGAGUCUUAGAGGCCAAGAAAGUGGUUUAAUAUAAUCCGUAUCAAAGCAUUUGUGGUUUAUUUUUGUUAACUGACAAAAGGAUUCUAAAACAUACCUGAAAAGUAUAAUUCACACCUAGGAUAAUGGAUCAUUCUGUCACAUUGUUCCUUUUUCACAGCUGAUAUGAACAUGAUAUUUUCAUGACUUUGUAAAAUAAAAAUGGAAUCUUUCUAAUUUUUUUAAAAAAACUGCUUACUUAUGCAAGCCUUCUGUCUCUCACUGUAUAACCCCUCCACUUUUAUACGGGUCACACAUGUUUCUGUCACUUUCCUGGAGCCCUUGUAGCAAAUUAAUAACAUGUAGCACAUGCUUGAAGAAAAAUUUGUCUAGGACAUUUUGUUUUUGAGAUUCAUAAAUUGACUCUAUUUUACAUAAGAAUCUAUUAUGCCAUAGGAAGCUUAUUAAACCCUUGAGCAGGAACAAAUUAUUCAAUAAAUGGUGAUGAGAUGAAUGCCU
rnacentral:lncRNA from 10 species